UUAAGCAUAUCAAUAAGCGGAGGAAAAGAAACCAACAGGGAUUGCCUCAGUAACGGCGAGUGAAGCGGCAACAGCUCAAAUUUGAAAUCUGGCUCCUUUGGGGUCCGAGUUGUAAUUUGUAGAGGAUGCUUCGGGUGCGGCACCGGUCUAAGUCCCUUGGAACAGGGCGUCAGAGAGGGUGAGGAUCCCGUAUGCGACCGGCGACCAAGCCCAUGUGAAGCUCCUUCGACGAGUCGAGUUGUUUGGGAAUGCAGCUCAAAAUGGGUGGUAAAUUUCAUCUAAAGCUAAAUACCGGCCAGAGACCGAUAGCGCACAAGUAGAGUGAUCGAAAGAUGAAAAGCACUUUGGAAAGAGAGUCAAAAAGUACGUGAAAUUGUUGAAAGGGAAGCGCUUGUAACCAGACCUGCCGUCGGGUGCUCCGCGGGCAUUCUUGCCCGUCUACUCACCCGCGAUCAGGCCAGCAUCGGUUUUGGCGGCCGGAUAAAGACUCGAGGAAUGUAGCUUCGCUUCGGGGAAGUGUUAUAGCCUCUUGUGCAAUACGGCCAGCCGGGACCGAGGACCGCGCUUCGGCUAGGAUGCUGGCGUAAUGGUUGCAAGCGACCCGUCUUGAAACACGGACCAAGGAGUCUAACAUCUAUGCGAGUGUUUGGGUGUCAAACCCAUGCGCGGAAUGAAAGUGAACGGAGGUGGGAACCCUUGAGGGCGCACCAUCGACCGAUCCGGAAGUUUACGGAUGGAUUUGAGUAUGAGCAUAGCUGUUGGGACCCGAAAGGUAAAGUCAGCCCUAAUCCUCUGCCUCGAGCCUAUGCUAACGUAUCAAACAGAUGGUGAACUAUGCCUGAAUAGGGUGAAGCCAGAGGAAACUCUGGUGGAGGCUCGCAGCGGUUCUGACGUGCAAAUCGAUCGUCAAAUUUGGGUAUAGGGGCGAAAGACUAAUCGAACCAUCUAGUAGCUGGUUCCUGCCGAAGUUUCCCUCAGGAUAGCAGUAACGUUUUCAGUUUUAUGAGGUAAAGCGAAUGAUUAGAGGCCUGGGGGAUGAAACAUCCUUCACCUAUUCUCAAACUUUCAAUAUGUAAGAAGUCCUUGUUACUUAGUUGAACGUGGACAUUUGAAUGCACCGUUACUAGUGGGCCAUUUUUGGUAAGCAGAACUGGCGAUGCGGGAUGAACCGAACGUGGGGUUAAGGUGCCGGAAUGUACGCUCAUCAGACACCAAAGGGAAGACUUGUGGUGUCUGGCCGGGGGAUUGACCCCCGGCAUCAGUCUGCGAAAGGCGAGGUCUUUGACCUGUAGGGGUCGGCGGUCGCUCCGGCGGGCCUACCCUCUGCUGUCCCUCCACCCGGGUAGCUCACAGAUCAAGCAAAGGCCGGCGGCCGUGCGCCGUUGGAGAUAUGAUCGGCCCCUGGAGGUUCACUUCGGGGAGCAAGUGCAAAAGGUGUUGAUUCAUCUAGACAGCCGGACGGUGGCCAUGGAAGUCGGAAUCCGCUAAGGAGUGUGUAACAACUCACCGGCCGAAUGAAUCAGCCCUGAAAAUGGAUGGCGCUCAAGCGUGCUACCCA
rnacentral:rRNA from 1 species